rnacentral:rRNA from 1 species
UAAUGCGUGACCAACCUCGCCCCAUGCUCCAGAAUAGCUCUUGGAAACGGGUGGUAAUGCUGGAUGCUCCAACUUGACGCAUGUCUUGUUGGGAAAGUGUUUAGUGGCAUGGGAUGGGGUCGCGUCCUAUCAGCUUGUAGGCGGGGUAAUGGCCCACCUAGGCUUCGACGGGUAGCCGGCCUGAGAGGGCGGACGGCCACAUUGGGACUGAGAUACGGCCCAGACUCCUACGGGAGGCAGCAGCG